rnacentral:rRNA from 1 species
UACGUAGGCAGCAAGCGUUGUUCGGAGUUACUGGGCGUAAAGGGUGUGUAGGCGGUUGUUUAAGUUUGGUGUGAAAUCUCCCGGCUCAACUGGGAGGGUGCGCCGAAUACUGAAUGACUAGAGUGCGGGAGAGGAAAGUGGAAUCCUGGUGUAGCGGUGAAAUGCGUAGAUAUCAGGAGGAACACCGGUGGUGUAGACGGCUUUCUGGACCGUAACUGACGCUGAGACACGAAAGCGUGGGUAGCAAACAGG